GCCCCAAGGCGUGAGUUCCCUGCUCACUAAAGCAAUGGUGAGACCAGCACCUGGCAUACAGCAGGCACUUAAUGCAUGCUGUGUCCCUCCCCAGGCCCUGGCCUCCUGACUUUCUCCUCUCCUCCCAACCCUGGGCCAGGGGCAGGGGGCCCUGAACUGCCCGGGCCUGGGCACUGUGCCUCCCUCCCCAGCCAUUGGCUCCUUCCAAGGGCAGCCUGGCAGGCCUCCCCCCAGUCCCUUCGCUGGCUCCCCUGUGCUGGCAGAGCCCAGCCCUCAGCCCAGUGCCAGCUUCCUCUGACCAGCCUCUUCCUGGAACAAUGGCACCAUCCUGCCAGAUGCUGCCCACAUCUUCUCGUAGAUUUCCUGGACUUUGUGGCAGAAGGCUCAGCUCCAGUGCCUCCUCCUCCAGCCAGCCUUCCCAGAUUCCCAGCCCCAAAGGAGCCCUUGCUGUUCAACCCCCCUCACAGCCUGGUGUGACCCAGAAAGGGGCCCUUCCUGCCUGGUUAGCCUACAGGGCCCAGCCCUAAUUUCUUCACCUUCCACGCCCCAGGCUAGGCCCUGUGUGUCUCCAUGUCCUCGGCACCUGGAGCUGUGUAAGCCCCAGCAGGCUCACGAUUGCCACCUGGAGAACCGGAGUCAGACACUGGCGGUAGGCAACACACACGGCUGUCUGAGCAACAGACAGACCAGGGCCAGGGCCAGGCACCACCUGGGCAGCGGCACCCAGGACUCGGUCAUGGUACAAGCCCUGUCCAGUGCCCACCAGCACCAAUACCCCUGUGUGCCUGGCCGUGGGCCCCCUGCUGGGGGUUGCAGUGGAUAUCCCGAUCAGAAAAGGUCAGGCAUCAAAUCAGAUCCAUUCCACGAGCAUCCACUGAGCACCAACUGCACGCCUGGCCUUGUUCCAGCGGCUGACCAUGAGCUCUGGGGCCCAACUCCAAUUGGAGGAUGCUGGGGCCCCUUCCCCAGGGUAGCUUCCAUCAGGGGGAGGACCAGGGUGGGCCAGGGCCAGGAGGCUUUGGUGAGAAGACCAAAGGCUGAGAAGGGCAUCCCUUCCUCUCCAGUGAGACAUAGGUGCAGCGUCCCCGCCUGCUCCAGCCGGGCCCACUCGGCACCUUGGCAGCCCGGGCCACACCUCUGGUGCACACUCCACAGAAGGCCGUCUCUAUCCCUGCUCUGAGGGGCUGUGUGGCCAGCAUCCCUCGUGGAGGAGUCCCAGGUCCCCGUGGUGCUGAGAGCUGACUGGAGCCGCAACAGACAGGACAGGGUGCAGAAGCGACAGGAAGAACGCAGAGCCCACAUCCCUGGGUCCCAUGGAGGCCAAGAGGGUCUGCAGAGAAGCCCAGCUUGGAGGAGGCAGCUGAACUCCCUGCUCUCCAGGGACCUAAGCCCAGCAGGGACAAGGACAGGCUGCCCUGGGUCCCCAAGGAAUUCGGGGACUCCAACAAAGGCUGUUGCUAAAUUGCCCAGGCUAGGCUUGAACUUGUGCUUCAGCCUCCUACGGUGCUGGCAUGACAGGCGUGCACCACCGAGCCUCCCUGGAGUUGGGACUCUUGAGAAGCAGCUCACAGAGCCAGGGCCACUGUCAUCAUCAGAGCCCACACUCCCACAUCUGCGCCCCUGUGUUCUCACAGACCCCCGUAAUCAUCGGACGAGCCCAUGCCCCUCCAGUCCUGAGGUGGGAGUGAACAAAACAGAAGCUGUUUGGAGAGCAUCAAGGACAACACAGGGUCUGCGAGAGGUGCAGCCACAGAUUGCGAGGUUUGGGGCGCCUGACACUCCGCACGUGGUGUCUCAGUUGAUUCUCACACCAGGGAGGAGCUCCUGCCCCAUUUUACAGACAGGGUGAGGACUUCACAGCCCGCCCCACAGUGUGCCUGGGUGCGGAUGGGGGUGGGCGGGGCAGGGUCCCUCCCAGAAUUGUUCCUGUUUCCUGCUGGGGCUCCUGCUUCCUACCAUGCUCCUUCUAAGGUGCUAAUGAGCCAACACUAAGAUUUUUUUUGAGACAGGUUCUCGUUAAGAGAGAACUCACGUAUAGUCCAGGUUGGGCUUGAACUCGAGGUGAUCCUCCUGCCUCAGCCUCCCCAGUGCUGGUAUUACAAAUGUGCACCCCCACAUCUGCCUGUGAAUACUUAGAUUUGAAAGAACUGAUCCUUUGCAGGAGAUACAGUCUGGAGCCAAGGACUUCACUCAACAAUUGUCAAUAGCUCCUAAGGCCUCUGAGAGUGAUUUCCAGUGGCCCAGCCUGGUCCCCAGGGAUGUUGAGGCUUGACCCCUCUGUCCUCAACCAUUUCUUCCUGCAGCCCAGAACAGCCACCUGCAGCCCAGGGACAACCUGUGGCAAAAGGAACCCCAGUCUCCUCCUGCCCAUUUUGGAGGACAGUGGUGUUCCCUGUCCACACUCCUGUGGCCCAGGCUCUGGACACAGCUGGGACACCCCGCCUGCAGAAUGCCCAUCCUGGCAUGUGACCCUCACCUGGCAUCAGGGCAGGCUCCAUGUGAGC